rnacentral:rRNA from 1 species
GACGAACGCUGGCGGCGUGCUUAACACAUGCAAGUCGAACGGAAAGGCCCCUUUGGGGGUACUCGAGUGGCGAACGGGUGAGUAACACGUGAGUAACCUGCCCUUGACUUCGGGAUAACUUCAGGAAACUGGGGCUAAUACCGGAUAGGAAUCCUUGCUGCAUGGUGGGGGUUGGAAAGCUUCGGCGGUUUUGGAUGGACUCGCGGCUUAUCAGCUUGUUGGUGGGGUAGUGGCUUACCAAGGCUUUGACGGGUAGCCGGCCUGAGAGGGCGACCGGCCACAUUGGGACUGGGAUACGGCCCAGACUCCUACGGGGGGCAGCAGUGGGGAAUAUUGCACAAUGGGCGGAAGCCUGAUGCAGCAACGCCGCGUGCGGGAUGACGGCCUUCGGGUUGUAAACCGCUUUCAGCAGGGGCGAAGCUUGUGGUGACGGUACCUGCAGAAGAAGCACCGGCUAACUACGUGC